rnacentral:rRNA from 1 species
ACAAAGAGCAGCAAGUUCGCGAGGACAAGCAAAUCUCAUAAACCGUGGCUCAGUUCAGAUCGUAGGCUGCAACUCGCCUACGUGAAGGCGGAAUCGCUAGUAAUCGCAGGUCAGCAUACUGCGGUGAAUACGUUCCCGGGCCUUGUACACACCGCCCGUCACACCAUGGAAGUUGGCCACGCCCGAAGCCGUUACUCCAACCCUUGUGGAGGAGGACGUCGAAGGUGGGGCUGAUGACUGGGGUGAAGUCGUAACAAGGUAGCCGUACCGGAAGGUGCGGCUGGAUCACCUCCUAAC